GACAGAGGGUGCAAACGUUGUUCGGAAUUACUGGGCGUAAAGCGCGUGUAGGCGGCUCUGCAAGUCGGGUGUGAAAUCCCACGGCUUAACCUGGGAACUGCAUUCGAGACUGCAUUGCUAGAGUAUGGGAGAGGGAAGUGGAAUUUCCGGUGUAGCGGUGAAAUGCGUAGAUAUCGGAAGGAACAUCAGUGGCGAAAGCGACUUCCUGGACCAAUACUGACGCUCAUGUGCGAAAGCGUGGGGAGCAAACAGG
rnacentral:rRNA from 1 species